CCCCAGUCUCAUCGUCACUCUCCCUCUCUUCCAGCGAGUCAUCUACCAUUAUACUCCAUCUUUUCCCUCUCUUCCUUUCUAUCUACUCACCGUUGCCGAAGACCUACCCAUGCCACUUCAAAUGAUGACACCAUGCCAUUGCCACCAUGAGGUAGCACUGCAUAACGGAGCGCGACGUCCCACAUCUCCGACCAAUCACCAUGAUUUGCGGCCGUGAAAUGACACCGCGGAGCUGAUCCACCACUUUGGCGACUCGCUUUGUGAAGAAGUCGUGCGUCAGUGUGUGCCACAUCUCUGGCGACACCACCGUUGCAGAUCUGCCAUUUCUCGUUGCCGUCGUGGGCUGAGGACGAGUGUGAUUGCUACUGAAUCUGAUCUUUUUAUUGCUUCUACUUUCUAUGUGGUUGAUUUGGGUGUUGUUAGUGUGUUGGUGGCGACGGUGUAGGUUGUUGGUUUCGGAGUUUGUGUGGGUAGUGGUGGUGUUGUUACCGUGAUGGUGAUUUUGCAUUGACGUGGGGUGAUUUGGUUAUUGUGACGGUGAUUUUGGGUUGAUGUGGUGUUUGGUGGUGUUUUUGUAGUCUGUUGAGAUGACAGUGGUCAUGGUG
rnacentral:lncRNA from 1 species